rnacentral:lncRNA from 1 species
CUGAGCCUGCUGUUAGGGUCUGGGCAGCACUGAUUCUCACCUUGGCCCUCCCAGCCUGAGCACCGGAGUUCCUGACCAGCCAAAAUUGGGUUGGACGAAUUCCUCUACAGAAGCCCCAAGCCUCCAGGCUGGCCCCAAGGCCUGGCCAAGGCUUGUGCUGUAUUCCCCCACUUCAGUGGGGAGGAGUGGUGAAGAGCAUGCUGUUGAUGGCCUCAUUGUGAACCACAUCUGUGCCACUUCUUAAGCUGUGUGAAUAAGCUGUGUGACUCUGGGCAAGUUACCACACCUCUCUGAGUUUCCUGGUGAUAAAAUGAAGGGAGCCGUCCACUCGAGCCAGGGAUGCAAUCAGAGGAGAAGCCAAGAGGAUGAGAGGAGAAGGAGGAAGUGUCUGACACCUGCGAGGAGGCCACUGUAGUCAUCCAGAACCACCACUAAGAUACAUCUGUGCUGAAGGCCUCAGAUCGGCACUUCUCUGAAGAACGUUCCAGAAAAGAGUGGAAAACAUUGUUUUAGGUGGGCCCCUCUUGGAGGCUCAGGAGGCAUGCUAGCAUAGUAAAGGCUCUGAUAAGUCCUGCCGCAAGGAGAUUUUCUCAAGUUUGUUUGCUCACGGAAGUCCUUUGGGCAGAACACCCACCAGCAUCCUACAGUCUCUGCUCUGCCAUCCAUGAUGAACGGUCUGCCUACAGAACGGUCUGUGACUUUCUCUUGGUGGCUGUUGGGCUGGGAGGACCCAGACAAGAUCAGUCCCAGUUAUAUCCACCGAAUACAGAUCCACGGAUGUCCCCAGGUUGGUGGCUGCGUCUUUGCCCCAGCCUCAGUCCAUUAGAAAGUGAUCUUUGCAGCUGGAACUACUGACAUUAGCUCCAGUUCCUCCAGGUGUUAUUUCAUUCCUGGAUGCCUGAAAAUCCCUGAAAGUGCUGCUUGAGCCAAAUUCAGAAGACAUGAUAAACCAGGUUAAUUUUAGGGCCCAUGACAAUAAGCAGGUGUCCUCUCAGUGGGUUGGUUGGAUAAAUGAGUUAAUUUUGUCCAAGCUCCAAACAUCUUGGGGACUUUGGUGCUGAGGGUGCACAUAUGUGUUGGGGGGUGGGUAGGGGAAAUAGUUCCUGCAUAGAACUGCUCCAGGGGGUUUGUGGAGACCUGACAAAGGACAGCUGCAUACUCAGCACUGCAAUUACUGGUGGUAAAAUGGUCCGACGGUAGAUCCCAGUGAGGGAGCUUGGCGGGUGGGCUUGGCAUUCUUUAGAAAACCCCACAUCAGCAGCUUUGCUGGUGGGAGUGGGGGUGAUUGGGGACCUUGGUGCCUUAUCCUGAGGCUGGGCAAGGCAGUCCAGGGCAGUGGAGGGUGGGACAGAGGGGAAGGUGUUUUUCAGAGUGAUCCCAGCAAGGGCAGAGACAAGAAUGGGGGUUUUAGGCAGACCACAUAGGUCGUUGGGGGAACCUCAGCUGUGCUCUGAAGGGACUGUGUGAUGUUGGGGGGCUCCUUUGGACUCUCUGAGCCUCAAUUUCCUCAUCUGCAAAUGGAGGCAAUAAUCUCUCUCUCUCUUUCAGAAUAAUGAAUGGAAUAACUUGGGCUAAGUGCCUAGAAAUAUCUGGCACAUAAUAUGUGCUCUUGUGAAUACCAAUUCUCCCCCAUUUCUUUGGAUAAGCUCAGAGACUGGCAGAGAGGUGUUUUUUUUUUUUUUAACUUUUAAUUGAAGUGUAACAUACACAUAGAAAAGUGCAUACAGCUUUUUUUUUUUUUUAAUUUACAAUUUAUUUCAACUCUUCCAGGGCUGGGAAUGUUACAAAACCUUAAACCAAU